GACGAACGCUGGCGGCGUGCUUAACACAUGCAAGUCGAACGGUAAGGCCCUUCGGGGUACACGAGUGGCGAACGGGUGAGUAACACGUGGGUGAUCUGCCCUGCACUUCGGGAUAAGCCUGGGAAACUGGGUCUAAUACCGGAUAGGACCACUGCCUGCAUGGGUGGUGGUGGAAAGCUUUUGCGGUGUGGGAUGGGCCCGCGGCCUAUCGGCUUGUUGGUGGGGUGAUGGCCUACCACGGCGACGACGGGUAGCCGGCCUGAGAGGGUGACCGGCCACACUGGGACUGAGAUACGGCCCAGACUCCUACGGGAGGCAGCAGUGGGGAAUAUUGCACAAUGGGCGCAAGCCUGAUGCAGCGACGCCGCGUGAGGGAUGACGGCCUUCGGGUUGUAAACCUCUUUCAGCACCGACGAAGCGCAAGUGACGGUAGGUGCAGAAGAAGGACCGGCCAACUACGUGCCAGCCGCCGCAGUAA
rnacentral:rRNA from 1 species